CCUCAUAGUCAAGUGAAGAAAGACCAACUUAGAAGUGCUUGGCUGGAAGAAAACUUCUCAGAAUGGAUCUUUUGAUAAAGGCAAGAUGGAAAUCCAAUACUGACCACCCAUGAUGAUGAAAUGGAUAUCUACCAGCUUGACAGUUGCUGGUAGGGAGUCGACGGUCAAAGAUAAGCAGCCAUUGUUUUGGAUCAAGAGUUGCUGCUGGAGACUGAAGAUUUCUCCACUUCCCGAGUCUGAGUGAUUGAUGACCUCGUCCUUGCAACAAUAUAGUCCACAAUCAUAACUGAAGGCAGAUCUCGACUUUGUAUUGAUCAAGGCUAUCUGAAUGAAGCAGAGGAGUUUGCAAACCAAGAUCUGUAUCCAGUUCAAGACUCUGGUUGGUGGAAUUUGCAUACCACGAGCUGCAUCCAGAACAAGACUUGACUUGAUGAUGUGAGCUUGUGAAGACCUGCAUCCAGUUCCAGAUUUGACUUGAUGCUGUGACCUUGUAAAGAGCUGCCUGCAACCAGUUUUAGGUAUGCACAUUUGGACACUUCUUGCAAGGAAAGGCCAGUUUCCCCAUCCAUUUUCAGGCCAGUUUCCACAAUGGUGUAUUGUAUGAAGCUUCAACAAAGAAGAUUGGGAAAAGGCCAGAUCCCCUGCUGACGUAGAGUCUCGUCAAAGUAGAACAGGAAAUGGAGCCAACAAUGCUUGAUCGAGGAAGGCGACCUAAAUGCCCAAUCGAGUGUCAACAGUUUCCUCAUCUCUUGUACACAUUCCAUGAUGUCUCUGCAACAGGAGUGAGUCUGUCUUUGAUCCAGUGACAGCAUGAUGUGAUGGUCAUCAACAGCAGAAACAUUGUUGAUGGCGAGUCUUGUUCGGCACAGAGGACAAGGCAUAGGAGUGAAGGAAGAGCCUUAUUUCCCUUUGAAGGAAGGAUCCUCUUUGCUUGUCGGCUAAGGACACAGAACGAGUGAGAAAAAGUGUGAGGAAGAGCCAAUUUCCCUUUGAAGGAAGGAUUCCCUUUCCUUUGUCAGCCGAGGACACAGAACGUGGAUCUUAACCUCCUGCAACCUAGAACAAGUGCGAGGACUUUGACAUUGAUGUUGGUUUCACCGUUACUCAUGUCAUGGUCAAGAACAUCAGUUGAGGUCAACUUUGGCCAGAAGGACUUUGAAGGAGAGAAGCCAACCAUCUCGUACACCAAGAAAAGCACCAACCGUGGUGUUGCUUUCACAAUUGGGAAGAACUAAAUGGUCAAGCCCUGUUCCCUCAUUCAGGGUCAAGAACAUCUGUUGAGGACAACUUUGACCAGAAGUCCUACAGGUGGAGCCAUAUUUCCCUUUGAAGUAAGGAUUCUCUUUCCUUUGUCAGCUGAGGACACAGAACGUGGAUCUAAACCUCCUUCCACCAAGAAGAAGUGUGAGGUUCUUCAUGGAACUGAACCUGCUGAUUUUAACGUCAGAAAGUCCAGUCCUGCAUGUGAAAACAAAGCUGGAGAUACCCUGCCACCGAUUUUCUCCACCUACAUCCAUCAUUACAAAUAACAGCUUGGUCGUUCUGUGUUGAAGGCUUUCACCUUUUGUCCUGUGAUCACUUAUAUGCUUCACAUCUAAUUCAGUGAUCUGUGACACUGAUACCUUGCCAAGUCUUGUCGCCCAAUGUGGAUCACCAAGAGGGAUCCUCUGAAGACCAUGGUGAUAUGCAGUUCAUGGUCUGCGGAGCUUAUGUCUGCAUGGAAGCAAGACAUGUUAAACGAGAUCUUGCAUGGACUUUAUAUCUAUCUGGUGAAUGGCUUUUGACAUUUAGGAAACCCAGCAAGUUUGAGGUUUUGGAGCUCAUGGUCUUAAGGGACUCGAAUCAGACAAGGAAAGCCAGCAAGUUUGAGGUUUUGGGAGCUCAUGGAUCUGGAGGAACUCUAAUCAGACAAGGGUUUGGAAUGAUUCCAUCUGGAUACUUCAUCGUCAAUCAACGGAUCAUCUUUAGAAGAUUGCGGAAAUCUUAAAACUCAGUUUUAGAGCGGCUGCUGUACACUCCUUAGACUAGGAAGCAGAAACUUCACAUAAUUCCUUUAUUACUAGAAAUCAUUGAAACACAAAGAUAACUAGAUUUGAAUUUGUCAUUGCUGAUGAAUUAGGUGAUCCACAGCAGAUCGAUCUCGUCUGAAUGACUAAGAAACGAUCGCCAGACGGCAUCUCAUGAAUGAACAAAAUUGUUCACUCAGAUUCCUCCGAACAUGAGGUACUCUCUAGAUUACCUAGUUAUAUGAAAAUUGAAUAUUUAUAUUUGUAAAGACAAAAUGAUAAAAAAUAAAUUUCAGAAAGUGAAAUCUUCCAGUUGUGAAUUCAUGUUCAUUUAUGUCAUUUUAAGCUUGUGAAUGUACUGAAAGUCUUGAAAGUGGGGGAAAAGGACGAAAAGUAGAACAAAGAGUGAAUGAAAGAAAGUGUUUUGCUUGUACUUUUGGGGUUCACAAGGAAUCAAGUUUCGGUUAUCUUGGAGCCCUGGCCAAUUCUGGUUAAAAUAACUUU